rnacentral:lncRNA from 1 species
UUUCAGCCAAUCGAGAUUCCCUAACGAUUUUUUUUCACAGGAAUAUGUGUAAAUUUGGCCGAAAUCGACCUAAGUCAAGGCAAACCACCAUUGCGGGCGGCAGUGCUAUCGUUGGAGCAUAGGGUGCUGCUGUGCCAGAAUCUUGAAAUUGGUUAGAGUGGAUUUUUAACACCGAUUUUGGAUUUUUGGGGUAUUUUUUAAGUACGUGAAGCGUGUUUAAUCUCCAUAAGAAAAUUCAAAAAAUCUAGGGAUCGCCAGGAGGCAUAGUAAAAAGUACAGUAUUUUAGACACCGAUUAAGAUAAGAAUCUCUCACCCUAUUUCUUGUUAUGGAAUUGAAGCUUAGAAAUCAAUAAUAUUGUAUUCUAUAAAAUU